GACGAACGCUGGCGGCGUGCUUAACACAUGCAAGUCGAACGGAAAGGCCCUGCUUUUGUGGGGUGCUCGAGUGGCGAACGGGUGAGUAACACGUGAGUAACCUGCCCUUGACUUUGGGAUAACUUCAGGAAACUGGGGCUAAUACCGGAUAGGAGCUCCUGCUGCAUGGUGGGGGUUGGAAAGUUUCGGCGGUUGGGGAUGGACUCGCGGGUUACCAGCUUGUUGGGGGGGUAGUGGCUUACCAGGGCUUGGCCGGGUAGCCGGCCUGGCAGGGUGACCGGCCACAGUGGGACUGGGAUACGGCCAAGACUCCUACGGGAGGCAGCAGUGGGGAAUAGUGCGAAAUGGGCGGAAGCAUGAUGCAGCAACGCCGCGUGCGGGAUGACGGCCUUCGGGUUGUAAACCGCUUUCGCCUGUGACGAAGCGUGAGUGACGGUAAUGGGUAAAGAAGCACCGGCUAACUACGU
rnacentral:rRNA from 1 species